rnacentral:rRNA from 1 species
AACGAACGCUGGCGGCAGGCCUAACACAUGCAAGUCGAGCGAGAUCUUCGGAUCUAGCGGCGGACGGGUGAGUAACGCGUGGGAAUAUGCCUCUUGGUACGGAAUAGCCUCGGGAAACUGAGAGUAAUACCGUAUGUGCCCUUCGGGGGAAAGAUUUAUCGCCAAGAGAUUAGCCCGCGUUGGAUUAGGUAGUUGGUGGGGUAAUGGCCUACCAAGCCUACGAUCCAUAGCUGGUUUGAGAGGAUGAUCAGCCACACUGGGACUGAGACACGGCCCAGACUCCUACGGGAGGCAGCAGUGGGGAAUCUUAGACAAUGGGGGCAACCCUGAUCUAGCCAUGCCGCGUGAGUGAUGAAGGCCUUAGGGUUGUAAAGCUCUUUUCAGCUGGGAAGAUAAUGACGGUACCAGCAGAAGAAGCCC